rnacentral:rRNA from 1 species
UUUGUGGUUCAACUGAUUUGAAGAGCUUGCUCAGAUAUGACGAUGGACAUUGCAAAGAGUGGCGAACGGGUGAGUAACACGUGGGAAACCUACCUCUUAGCAGGGGAUAACAUUUGGAAACAGAUGCUAAUACCGUAUAACAAUGACAACCGCAUGGUUGUUAUUUAAAAGAUGGUUCUGCUAUCACUAAGAGAUGGUCCCGCGGUGCAUUAGCUAGUUGGUAAGGUAAUGGCUUACCAAGGCGAUGAUGCAUAGCCGAGUUGAGAGACUGAUCGGCCACAAUGGGACUGAGACACGGCCCAUACUCCUACGGGAGGCAGCAGUAGGGAAUCUUCCACAAUGGGCGAAAGCCUGAUGGAGCAACGCCGCGUGUGUGAUGAAGGGUUUCGGCUCGUAAAACACUGUUGUAAGAGAAGAAUGACAUUGAGAGUAACUGUUCAAUGUGUGACGGUAUCUUACCAGAAAGGAACGGCUAAAUACGUGCCAGCAGCCGCGGUAAUACGUAUGUUCCAAGCGUUAUCCGGAUUUAUUGGGCGUAAAGCGAGCGCAGACGGUUAUUUAAGUCUGAAGUGAAAGCCCUCAGCUCAACUGAGGAAUUGCUUUGGAAACUGGAUGACUUGAGUGCAGUAGAGGAAAGUGGAACUCCAUGUGUAGCGGUGAAAUGCGUAGAUAUAUGGAAGAACACCAGUGGCGAAAGGCGGCUUUCUGGACUGUAACUGACGUUGAGGCUCGAAAGUGUGGGUAGCAAACAGGAUUAGAUACCCUGGUAGUCCACACCGUAAACGAUGAGUGCUAGUGUUUGAGGGUUUCCGCCCUUAAGUGCCGCAGCUAACGCAUUAAGCACUCCGCCUGGGGAGUACGACCGCAAGGUUGAAACUCAAGGAAUUGACGGGGACCCGCACAAGCGUGGAGCAUGUGGUUUAAUUCGAAGCA